rnacentral:lncRNA from 1 species
UUUUAAUCACAUCGAACCAAACGACCCAUAAUAUAUACCAACAGAGUACAAAUACAUAUAGGAAGCAACAAACCAAACGGCCCCUAAUACCAGCAAAUUACAAAUACAUGUAGCAAGAACCAAACUAAAAGCAGAAAUACAUCUCGUACAGGGCAAGCCAAAACGAGCAUAACACAACUAAAAGGAUUUGGCAUAAAUCGACUCUAAAAUCCUUUUACGUACUCUAAAAGGUUGACCUGAUAGUGAACACUAGUGGAAAAUAGGUUUUAACACAUCACCAAGCAAGACAAAAGCAUAUUAUUUUUGAACGAAACACACAUCACCAUGCAAGACACAAAACACAACGAACAUCAGCUGAAGGAUGGGAAUAGAUGUCUUCCUUUCCUCAGCAUGAAGCAUGCUGCCUUUCUCACGACUUCCUGAUCAUUACAAAAAAUAAAAGUUUAGGGUUUGUUGGGAAGAGUUUCAGGUCAUGUAAAUACGUUUCGAGGGUUGUUUUGUACCUGCUUUUUUUUUUAUUUGUCCUUAGGUUUGUUCUUAUCCGGAGUUUUGUCGUUAUUUGGUUUUUCGUUCUUCAAGUUUGUUGCCUUCUUCCUGUUGCCAAAUUUAUCAGCUUAAUGAAUAAAACAAUAACAUGCUAACUUCCUCUCAAAAAAUAAAAUUACAAAAAUAAAAGCUUGUACGUACUCAGGUUAAUUUGCUCCAAGGAGGGGGAAAAUAGCCUAGAGUACCAAAAAUAAGAAUAUAUAUAUAUAUAUAUAUAUAUAUAUAUAUAUAUAUAUAUAUAUAUAUAUAAAUAGGCUGGAAUACUAUUAAUAGCACCAAUGACUUGGUGCUAUUAAGUUUUCUGCCAUUGGAUUAAAAUAUGUGCGGUUAGGAUGAUAUGAGUNAAAUACCCCCACGUGGUUUCACUUUUUCUCACGUUAGUACCCUGUGAUUUAAAGUGUAUCAAAUUAGUACUCUGUGGUUCUUCUCUUUUUAUUAUCCAUUUCACUAAUUUUUUUCGUUAAAUCAGUAACAAAGUUAAAAUUAAACGGUACUAAAGUGAAUAUUCGAUAAACCUAGGUAUAGUAUCUGAAGUUUUUUGUAUAUUACUUAACGAAAUAUUAACGGAGGAAAAAAAAAAUAGUGACAAAGUUAAAACUAAAGGGUACUAAUGUAAAUAUUCGAUAAAUUUAGGUAGGUUAUUUGAAAUUUUUUGUAUAUAAUUUAACAAAAUAUUAACAGUGGAGCCGGCGAAAAGAGAAAAAUGAAACCACAGAGUACUAAAUUGAUACACUUUACAUGGUACUAACGUGAGAAAGUGCGAAACCACAUGAUACCAAAUUAAUAUACUUCAACCUAUAGGGUACUAAAGUAAAAAGCGCAAAACCACAGGGGCGGUAUUUGAAAUUUUUCAUAUAUAUAUAUAUAUAUAUACAUAUAUAUAUAUAUAUAUAUAUAUAUAUGCACUAUUUUUAGGCCAUUACAGGGUCCUGUUUUGUCAUCAAAUUUUAAAAUGAUCUCCUCUACCUACAAGGCCAUUUAUUUAUUUUAUCAUAAGAAAAUGACUUAGUGGUCAUAUUUUACUGCACCAUUCUCUACCGAAUAAAUUGCACUAUUACCCCCUAAACUUUUGACGAAGUUUUAUUUUACCCUCAAGCUUCUAAAAUAGACAUUUAACACUCUAAACUCUAAUAUUUUAUUCAUGUUACCCUUCCGUCGGUUUACCAUCAAGCUCCGUUAAUCAAAAAUUGACAAAAGGAGUAAUAUGAAUGAAAUAUUAGAGUUUAAGAUGUUAAAUGCCUAUUUUAUAAAUUUGGGGGGUAAAGUGAAACUCCACCAAAAGUUUAGGAGGGUAACAAUAUAAUUUAGCCUAUUUUUUUUUAAAAAAAAUAAACCAUAGCACAAAUUACCCUAUAUUUUAUUGUAUAAAAGAAAAGAAAAAUAAAUUAGGGUGGCUUAAAAAUAAGAAAAGAGAGACACUAACUAGCUAGCUACAAUGUUCGAAUACACUACUCUCCCGAUGUACUUGCUAAUAUAGUUGAUUUUACAAUAAGUAUCUUCACUCGAAUAUAGAAAUUUUAAUUUUUAGUUAAUUCCCUAUAGUACUCAUCAUUUCUCGCCUGUAUCUCUAGAGGCAUUGUUUUAGUGAAUGCACUUACUCUCUAUGAAAUUAUGCAACGUAAUUUUAUUAUAAUCUAAAAUCAAAAUUUUAUAUAUCUUUUUAACCAAUUAGAAAUUUUGAUUAUAAAAAUAUAAUAUUAUUUUAUAAUAAAUUAAAAUUUUUUAAAUAAAAUUAGUGAUAUUAGAUUAAGAGAUGCUGAAUAUCAUCUCAUCCUUCGGAUAUCAAUGGCACACGCUGUGUAGGCGAUCUAAUCCAUUUAUUUUAUUUUUAUUUUUUUAAUAUUUUUCUUGAAACUAUCCUAUUAAUAUAAGCAAAUGUUUUUUUUGUAAAAUUUUUUUUUUCAACAACCAAAUAUUUCUAUUGCCCUCUAAACUUUUAGUAGAGUUCCACUUUACCCGCUGUGUAGAGUUCCACUUUAUAAUAUAUUAGUUUAAAUUCAAACUGAAAAUUAAAUAUUAAAAAUUUACGUCAAAAUUUUAAAAUAAUGUCAAAAUUUAAAUAUAUAUUUUUAAAAAAUUAAAAUUUGAAAUUGAAUGGAUAAUUCAAAAUACAAAACUAAAUUUCAAUUUAUUCAAAUUUAAACUUAAAAUUAUAAUUUAAAUUUCAAUUUGAAGGCAUAAAUUUAAUUUAAAUUUUAGAUAAAAUUUGAAUAAAACUUUAUAUUUUAAUUUAAAUUUAAAUUUAUAAAUUAGAUUCAAAAUGCUUAAUUGAAUUUUAAUUUUUAAUUUAAGUUCAAAUGAAAAAGAAAAUUUAUAAAUAUAAUUUUUAAACUUAAAUUUAUGUUUUAAUUAAAAAAUAAGCUUAAAAAAGUUAAAUUUAAUCCGAAUAAUUCAUUCUGCUCGGAUUCAAUUUUCAAUCUGGCUUUUUAGGUCGAAUUGAGAAAAAGGGUAAAUGGGGGGAUUCCUAUUCACCUAGGAAUCGGAAUGGAAAUCCCGCAUACCAAACACGAACAAACGAUUCGUCCAUUCUGAUUCCGAUUUCAAGGUGAAAAAUGGGCGAACCAAACACGCCCUAAACUCUAAUAUUUCAUUCAUGUUACCCCUUUCAUCAAUUUUCGGCUAACGGAGUUUGACGGAAAACUGGCCAAAUGGGUAAUACGAAUGAAAUAUUAGAGUUUAGAAUAUUAAAUGUCUAUUUUAGAAGUUUGGGAGUAAAGUGAAACUUCGCCAAAAGUUUAGAAGGUAACGCACUACAACAAAAACGGUUUAUAGCGACACUUUUAAAUGUCGGUAUAGGUAAAAAAAAGUGCUGCUAGCUAAAUUACCGACACUUUAAAAAGUGUUGUUAUAUGUGGGGUCGCUAGGUAUAUAGUGACAGUUAAAGAGUGUCGCUAUAACCUAAAAAGAGUGCUGCUAAUUUACCAACACUUAUUUAAGCAUUUAGCAACCGUCGGAACUAUAUCACGUUGGCUGCGGUGGCGGAGGAGGAGAAGAGGGAAAGGCUCUUCGUCUAGAAUUUCAGUGGAUUGAGUGAGGGGAGAAGGGAAGAUGGUAAUCGAAUUUUUUUUUUUUUUUCUUUUCUGUUUGUAAUCGGGCUGAAUGGGCUGGGUGAGGUGGGUUGAGUAGAAUAAUAUUUUAUUUUUUGUUGGAUUGGGUUUUAUAUUUAGGCAUUAAUAGAUUUUUUUUAAGUUUUGGCAUAAAUGGACACUUACACAAAAAUGUUUCGAACAUGUGUUUCUAUAACCUAAUUUUGUUGUAGUGACGGUACAAUUUACUCCUAUAUAUGAUCGAAUUAUUCUCCUUAUAAAUCAAUUGCCACAUGACUUCUAAUAAACAAAAGAGAGAUAUACUAAACAAGAUAUUCACAUAUUCAAACUUAUUCAGUAUAUCACUUUUGCACUCAAGGACUCACAACAAUUUGUAAAUAAAGAGUAGAUCAUUAAUUACCUACAAGAGCACAGUGUAUACGUACCGUUCUUCAGACGAAUCCGGUUUGUUGUCACCUUGAGCUUGGUUUUCAGAACGGGGAGUGGAUGAAUUGGCGGGAUGAAGCUUCGAAGAAGUGGUUGGAGUUGUGCGUGAGGUUGAGUUGGCUACAGUCAUGGAUGAUGAGGCCAGGGUUGAUAGAGUGGACAAGCAUGCGGUAGAUGAGGAAGAGACAAGCAAGGAAGCGACGGCAGCGGACGAGGAUGUCACUUCAGCUGGAUGAAAGCAGAAAUCUCAACUAAAUCAGUAAUAAAGUCUCCAGAAAUCCUACUAAAAUUUCUUAAGAGAAGUUUUUUAUUUUUAUUUUGAAGAAUUGGAAGGUAUGUUUGAUGUUGAGGAUUCAAGCAGUAAUAGGUAAAAGAGAACCAUUGCCACCGCAAAUAUUAUCACUACAACAAUUUAUAUAUAAAUUGAAUCGCGAGUUUUACUGUGGCCGACGUGGCCGCUUCUCCGCACUCGCGAGGAAGAGAGGAAGAGAGAAAGGGAAAAGAGAGAGANUUGUAACGACCCAGCCAACUAGCAAUAAUAACUUGUUGGGCCCAACCACAGCCCAAAAUGCUUAAGCCUAGUUAUUAUUACUAGUGUCUAAGUCACUUAUAAACCCAAUGACAACCCCAUUCCCAUCCGAUGUGGGACUAUUGGGGUGUCACAGACUCCCCCUGUUAAGGCCCUGACGUCCUCGUCAGUCCAAUCACACACACAGCCCAAGAUUACCAGGCGAUGUGAGACUCGUCUCGCUAGCCCGUCAGCCAGACCCUGGCUCAGCCGAGACUCGCCACACAUGUCCAGCUGGUGAACCGGCUCUGAUACCAAAUGUAACGACCCAGCCAACUAGCAAUAAUAACUUGUUGGGCCCAACCACAGCCCAAAAUGCUUAAGCCUAGUUAUUAUUAUUAGUGUCUAAGUCAUUUAUAAACCCAAUGACAACUCCAUUCCCAUCCGAUGUGGGACUAUUGGGGUGUCACAUGGAUUGAAUUGUUUUGCACCAUUCAAAGCACCAUUUAUUCUUCUGUAGCCACAACUGAAUCAUAAUGUGUAGGAAUAAUGAUUUAAGUUUGAGAGAUUUUAAGAACAGUACAAAAUUUUCAAAUAUCACACUAUGAGGUUAAUAUUCCACGUAUUAAUUUUUUUUUUUUUUUUGAGAGACGCUACCCACUUCGUUUAUUUCAUUUAGAAAUAAACUUAGCUAGAAAUGUGAAUCAACUAGGAUUCGAACUUGGAUCUCGGGUACCAACCACCAAACCCUUUGCUGCUUGCUCUAGGGACGGUCGGUAUGCUUGCUAUGGUCUUUGAAACAUAAUUUUGGGUCAUCAAUGUGUUUUAGUUAGUGUGUGCAUGUGGGCAUUUAGCAAGUACUCAGUAGUGUUAUAUCAAGAAAAUGAAAAAUUACUCAAAACAAGUGUUGAGUUUUCGUAGGCUAUCUUUAACUUGGUUUUGCAGGCCUAUCAUGUUCGAUAUUUAAUCUAUACUGACACAAAAGUUUUUGUCAUGUUAGCUUCAAUUGGAGGGUAUUAACAUUUAACAAGAUUACUGUGCAUUGCAUGUAACCUUUAAUCAAAACUGACCUUUGAAUCACAUGGUUUAUCUACUUCGCGCGUGUUUCGAAUGUUGUGGUACUUUUAUUAAUCCCCAUAUGAGUCAUCCACGUGGCAAGUUUUUCUUACCUUAUAGCGUGGGACCUGCCUGUCAGCAUUACGUACUUUUUUUUUAUUGAAAUAUGUAUAUAUAUACAAACAGGAAGGGGGAAAAAUAGAACAAUUCAACAACAUUAUUCUACUUACUAAACUCGACCGGAAAAAAAUAGCCCAAAAAAAAGGGCAAUAUAUAGAAAAGUAUAAAUAAGGAAGCUAAUUAACAAGGUAAAAAUUAUCACCUCAUGUCCUUGAUAUGUGAAGAUUAUGAUCAGAGAUGAUCAAGGUUGAGCUCGAGUAACUUUCCUCAAGAGCACUUUCAUAAGCAGCAGUCAUUCCAAUAUCUUCUUCCAUAAAAGCACUUGUAUAUUUUGAAAGCUUUACAAUUCUGCUUUUACAUCUAAUGUGAAAUAUGAUCAUCCUCGAUGCAUUUUCUCUUCACAGUACACAUGCAAGAAUUAUAAUUAUUAUCUUCAAACGUAGAAGUAGUAUUUCAGCGUUCAUAUGCAUUAUGUUUGGUUAAUGCUGACUUCUUAUUGCCAUGCUUCCUUGCUACCAUUUUCUAUAUGCAAUCUCACGCGCGCUCUUUUGCGCUGCUCAUACUCGAGAGAGAGAGAAAUCUCUAGAGCUAUUUGGGUAAUAAACGAUCUUAGCAUUUCUGGCGCUUCCUCGGUUAUCCUGGUAAUACUCCCGAAUACAAUUAAACCGUUGAUUGUUGUUUGGUACAAUUUCUGUCAAAAAAAAAAAAUAAGUGUGUGAGAGAGAGAAAGCUUGUUAGAGAUAGAGAGAGAGAGAGAGAGAGAGAGCCCAACAAGGGAUAGUGAGGUGCUCUUCGUUCAAGAUUUUUCUUUCUGUUGUAACGAUAUCGGAAGUUCCUUCGUAAAGGUUGUCUGUGUAUCAAUGGUUCGUUUCAUUCAAAUAAUUAAAAAUAAGAAUAUACUGAUCCUAAUUUGUAGAUAUAAAUUAAGUAGAUAACACUACAAGGAAAUGGAGCUCUACCGACGUUUUUUUAGGGAUGCUUCGUUUGAGCGUCGGCAAAUCCCAAUUUAUCUCCUAAAUUAUCGAUGCUUAGGGUAAGCGUCGACGAAAUAAAAUUUUAGGCGCUGAAAUAAUUAAGUGCCCGCGAAACGCUACGCCCGCGAAACGCCCGCAUAGCGCGAAAACAUAGCGCCAAAAGUGAUAAAAAAAAAAAACCCUAAGCCUCAUAUUAGUUCUAUUUUCACAUUUCCUCUGUCACUACAUGCCUUUUUCCAUUCCCACCUUCCUUCACAGGUGAAGAAGAAGGUGAUCUCCCGCAUCCAUCGCUGCGCCCUCUCCCGCCUCUGCCGCCGCUCCCACUUCUCCGCCCAAUCCCACCGCCAAUUCGUCUAGGGCGCCCAGCUCCUCGCCCGCGCCCGCUCCUUCUCCAUUUCCUCCGCCUCCACCUCCACCUCCGCCCUCGCCCACUCCGCCAUCGCAGAGGCCGCUGCUGCCCUCGACGCUUGCGAUGCCGCGCCCCACAUCUUGAAGGCCCUCGCCCUCGACCUCUUCGGCCACCGCCUCCCCUUGCUCCGAUCUCUCGACGCCGCCCUCUCCCACCAGCCACCAAAUCCCUUUCCCCCAACGAGUGUGGCAACGCCCUCUUCAAGUGCGCCUGGAUCCAGCUCGCCCUCAACCACCAACGCUGCCUCGACGCAGCCCUCGCCGACCUCCUCGACACCGCGCGCAGGGCUUAUGGAUGGAAUGAGAAACUUGAAUGAGCUUCUGGAGCUGGAUGCAGAAGCUCUGAUAUGAAGUUUAGCUUCAGCAGG